rnacentral:rRNA from 3 species
GUGUUGUGUUGUAAGGGCGCAUGGUGGAUGCCUUGGCAUAGUAGGCCGAUGAAGGACGUGAGAGGCUGCGAUAGGCCUCGGGGAGCUGCCAACUGAGCGUUGAUCCGAGGGUGUCCGAAUGGGGAAACCUGGCCGUCGUUGUGGGCGGUCGCCGUUAGAUGAAUUCAUAGUCUAAUUGGUGGUUACGCGGGGAAGUGAAACAUCUCAGUACCCGUAGGAGUAGAAAACAAUUGUGAUUCCGUUAGUAGUGGCGAACGAACGUGGAUGAGGCUAAACCGCGUGCGUGUGAUACCUGGCAGGGUUUGCGUGCGUGGGGUUGUGGGGAUGCA